rnacentral:rRNA from 1 species
GAUGAACGCUGGCGGCGUGCCUAAUACAUGCAAGUCGAGCGAACGGACGAGAAGCUUGCUUCUCUGAUGUUAGCGGCGGACGGGUGAGCAACACGUGGAUAACCUACCUAUAAGACUGGGAUAACUUCGGGAAACCGGAGCUAAUACCGGAUAAUAUUUUGAACCGCAUGGUUCAAAAGUGAAAGACGGUCUUGCUGUCACUUAUAGAUGGAUCCGCGCUGCAUUAGCUAGUUGGUAAGGUAACGGCUUACCAAGGCAACGAUGCAUAGCCGACCUGAGAGGGUGAUCGGCCACACUGGAACUGAGACACGGUCCAGACUCCUACGGGAGGCAGCAGUAGGGAAUCUUCCGCAAUGGGCGAAAGCCUGACGGAGCAACGCCGCGUGAGUGAUGAAGGUCUUCGGAUCGUAAAACUCUGUUAUUAGGGAAGAACAUAUGUGUAAGUAACUGUGCACAUCUUGACGGUACCUAAUCAGAAAGCCACGGCUAACUACGUG